CUUUUUUAAAGAGCUUUUAAAGGGGAACAAUCCUGUCAUACAUGAUUUUUGCGAAACUUUAACCGUUUACGCAGCAUCAGCUCUCAAAAGGUAAAAAUUCAUUGAUUUGAAAUAUUCUUGAUUGGUGCUCCGCUCCUAUUGGUCUUAGCGUGAUGAUAAAUAGCCUAAAGCCUUCAGGAACUAACGGGCUAUCCAACACAAAAAGAAUUUUUCAAAUCGGUCCAGUAGUUCCUGAGAUUAGCGCGUUCAACCAAACAAACAAACAAACAAACUCUUCAGCUUUAUAAUAUUAGUAUAUUAUAAAUGUCUUCAUUAAAGUAAAUAUAUUAUGUAAUUUUAACAGAGGGACUUAUAUUAGGCUGUCUUUACAUAACUAAAUUAUUAUUUUAUAGCUCUAAUGUAAACUUUCAUCAAUCAUUCCUCCCUCCAAUCCAAUGACAUAUAAAAACAUCUUAAAGAUGACCUAAACUCUAUGCCUAAACUGAACUGUCCCACCAAACUCAUUGAUAAGGGGGCGCUACCGUCGUUCAACUAUAUAGUUUCCAACAUGGCAAAAAAUCGGAACCAGCGAUCCGGUAUUGACGGUGGCGCCCCGCUGCCAAUGUCAAGGUUUUAUUUCUAUCAUAUUUUUUUUACCACCAAAACUGUCAGAUGCUAUUUUUCAAAUAGCCCUAUCCUACUAUUUGAUACAAAAUCUAACGAAAUGAAUACUUUACAUUUCUUGUGGGCUGCCCACAGGGAAGAAUUGCGGAGAAGGCGGAAAAUGCGAGAAUUAGCCAGAAUAUAUGAAGAAAAUUUUGAAGACAUGCCAGAGCUUCUGUUCAGGCAACGUUACAGGCUUAACAAAGGCCAAUUUCAGGAGCUUUGUCAUAUAUUGAAACAGGAAACCUCUUUGCGGGGAAAUACAAUAAUUUCUCUGGAAUCCAAGAUGAGCUGCCUGCAGGAUCUGUUGCAACAGCCACUUUUCUGGAGCAUUUUAACAAUUUAUUUGAUUUACUUAAUGCGCAUGCAUUCACCAGACUGGCAAGAAGGGAAGCAAUCAGUGUGUAUAAUAUUAAUUAAAAGAUUUUGUUUAAUAGAGAACAGAAGGUUCUCCACUGAAUCUGCCUAGUAAAGGCUGCCAAAAAAAAAUAAAAAUAUUAAAAAAUUCAUA